CGAGUGGAACAUACGACGGCGGGACGGCGUUGGCAACAGCGACCGUUCUGAGGAAAGUCCGGGCUUCUCAGAGGCAUGACAACUGCUAACGGCAGCCGGGGGUGACCCCAGGGAAAGUGCAACAGAAAGAAACCGCCGCCCUCUGGGCGGUAAGGAUGGAAAGGCGAGGUAAGAGCUCACCAGCGCACUGGCGACUUUGCGGCUAUGUAAACCCUGUCAGAAGCAACAUCCGUAUGGGACAUAUGUGGAAGCCUCGCACGUCCCGGAGAUGGCAUGACGCCUGCGACCACGUGCCACAGGCGCGGAGCCUUGCGGUGACGCAAGGUCAAGAUAGAUCGUCGUUUGAUACAGAACCCGGCUUACGGUCCAGUCGUUGC
rnacentral:RNase_P_RNA from 1 species